rnacentral:tRNA from 1 species
GAGGGUGUUAUAAGACCUGCUAACUCUUUAAUCUGGAACUAGCCCCCAGCCCCCUCU